UUUAGACAUGGAGUAUGAAAACAUAUCUGGUAGUUUCUUUUAUAUUCAGACCCUGUUCUCAACGCCACACAGACUACAGAAUUACCUGGACAUGAUGACUUUGACCCAGUAAAAGCAGAAGCUGGUGCUAUUGCAGGGGUAGUAUUUGGAGUUCUGGUGUCGGUGGGCUUCAUAACAUUUGCGGCAGUCAUGUACCUUAGGAAGAAACGUGAAAGAGAUCUGGAAUAUCACCGCAAAACUAAAGUUCUAAAGCAGUCAUCACAGAGUGCCGGUGUUUAUGUUGAUACAACACAGGACUUUAUUUCCGGCCCAGCCAGGAACACUGAAAACAAAGGUCCGGAAUACAAACACCUGCAAAAAGAGUCCGAUAUCUACGAAAGUGAUUCCGAGGAUGAAUUGUGAUCUUCAAGAUUACGUUAAACAUGAAAUAUGGAAAGAGUGGGGCUGUACAAAAAGUGAAACUAUGUUUAAGGAUGACAGUAUGGGUUAAGGAUGUUAAUAUCAGUUCUUUUUUUAGUUGUAGCUGGGUUAAAAGUUAUCUACUUAUGUUGUAGCUAAAGUUUACUAAAUAUCGAAUAUGGUCAAAUGCUGAAAUAGAAAUGUAUUCUAUAAAGCAAAAGCCGGCCUUUGCAAAAAUACAACUUUGAACUUUGAUAUGCCUAGCAGAACGAAACUGAAAUAUUUAUUGGCCAAUUGCAUAAUUGUAUAGUUUGAAUAUAUCUCCAUGUUGAGAAAUUUCUAGGUAUCCUACAGUUUUAUCAAAUAGCAUAAACUUAAAUUCAUCUAGUAUUUAAAGGAUAUUAGUACUAGUAAUACUGAACGUGGAUGUUUGGGGUGGGGUGGGGAGGGGGGGGGGGUAGCUGGGGGGCGGGUAUACAUGUAAUAGGUGCGCUAUGGUGUAAUAUUUAGAAUCUAUGUUUCUGGUUCUGAUGUUGUGGCUGUUUGUUGGGUAUAUGUUAUAGCUGUGGUGGUAAAAUAUUCAGCAUGGAUUUUGUGGGAAAUAUGUUAGGUGUAAUACGUGUUUGUGGGAAAUAUGUUAGGUGUGGGAAAUAUGUUAGGUGUAAUACGUGUUUGUGGGAAACAUGUUACAGAUGUGACGACGUGUAAUAUUUAGCGCGAGUGUUUGUGGGAAAUAUGUUGAACAUUCGUUGUAUAUUUUAUAUAAUCUUUUUGACUAAGUUCACCCAAAAACUAGUAUAAUACUAUCGCAUUUCCUAUUUAUACAGGAAGAGAAACUGUAGCCAGGAAACAAAGUGUCUAUAUCCAACAUCAACAACAUUAAAUAAUGUCUAUCUUAUUAAUGUUAUUUAACACAGUACAGACCUUUUUUUCCUGAGUUAAACCUUGGCUAACUUAAUUUCUGUAUGUAUUAAAUAUAUUGGAAUAAUUAUACCAGAAAAUCAGUUUAUUUCCAUUGUUCAUGUAUAACAUAAUCAUAAAGACGACAAAUCAACCAACUGAGCUAUGUCCUAGUUGUAACAUCAUUUAAAUCGCAGUUUUGCUUGUGUUUUAAAGAAGACAGGAGGUGAGAGGAUAAUACCACAAUUGUUCAUAUAUUUAUAAAGAGAUGAAAAAUGUUUUAUUGUGCAUUCUUGGUAUUCUGCUAGAACUUUUUGUUCUCCAAAUAUUCUAUGCUUCUUCUAUUGUUCUUUGAAUUUUAUAUUCUACAAUAGAAGGCUAGACCUCAUUAUGACUAAAUGCAAAAUGUAACUAUUCAAAUGCUGAUAAAGUAAUAAAUCCUGUCAAAUUCCAUGUGAAAAUUGUACAUCUUCACAAGAAAUUCUUUUUUUUUUUUUGAGAAGACAAGAAUGUGACAGCAUAUGCAUUGUACAAUGGACCAAACAAAAUAACAUGCCAUCAAGAAUGAUACCGUUUGUGAAAUGUUUUUAUACUAAUCCAGAAAACUCUAGAAUACACACUUCAUGUAAUACUAUGACAGAUUUUAUAUGUAUAACCAGUCAUCUUGAAAUAUUCUGUGCAAUAAAUCAUAUACAUUUUGUUUCAA
rnacentral:misc_RNA from 1 species